rnacentral:rRNA from 1 species
GAUGAACGCUGGCGGCGUGCCUAAUACAUGCAAGUCGAGCGAAUGGAUUAAGAGCUUGCUCUUAUGAAGUUAGCGGCGGAGGGGUGAGUAACACGUGGGUAACCUGCCCAUAAGACUGGGAUAACUCCGGGAAACGUGGGCUAAUACCGGAUAACAUUUUGAACCGCAUGGUUCGAAAUUGAAAGGCGGCUUCGGCUGUCACUUAUGGAUGGACCCGCGUCGCAUUAGCUAGUUGGUGAGGUAACGGCUCACCAAGGCAACGAUGCGUAGCCGACCUGAGAGGGUGAUCGGCCACACUGGGACUGAGACACGGCCCAGACUCCUACGGGAGGCAGCAGUAGGGAAUCUUCCGCAAUGGACGAAAGUCUGACGGAGCAACGCCGCGUGAGUGAUGAAGGCUUUCGGGUCGUAAAACUCUGUUGUUAGGGAAGAACAAGUGCUAGUUGAAUAAGCUGGCACCUUGACGGUACCUAACCAGAAAGCCACGGCUAACUACGUGCCAGCCGCCGCGGUAA